rnacentral:rRNA from 1 species
UACAGAGGGUGCGAGCGUUGUUCGGAAUUAUUGGGCGUAAAGCGCUUGUAGGCGGCACGUCAAGUCGCGUGUGAAAUCCCCCAGGCUUAACCUGGGAAGUGCGCGCGAAACUGACGAGCUUGAGUGCCGGAGAGGGUCGCGGAAUUCCCGGUGUAGAGGUGAAAUUCGUAGAUAUCGGGAGGAACACCAGUGGCGAAGGCGGCGACCUGGACGGACACUGACGCUGAGACGCGAAAAGCGUGGGGGAGCAAACAGG